CGCGGCCUAUCAGCUUGUUGGAGAGGUAACGGCUCACCAAGGCAUCGACGGGUAGCUGGUCUGAGAGGAUGAUCAGCCACACUGGAACUGAGACACGGUCCAGACUCCUACGGGAGGCAGCAGUGGGGAGUCUUGCACAAUGGGCGCAAGCCUGAUGCAGCAACGCCGCGUGCGGGAAGACGGCCCUAGGGUUGUAAACCGCUUUCAGGAGGGAAGAAAAUGACGGUACCUCCAGAAGAAGGUGCGGCCAACUACGUGCCAGCAGCCGCGGUGACACGUAGGCACCAAGCGUUAUCCGGAUUUAUUGGGCGUAAAGAGCUCGUAGGCGGUUCGGUGAGUCGGGUGUGAAAAUCCAAGGCUCAACCUUGGGACGCCACCCGAUACUGCUGUGACUAGAGUGCAGUAGGGGAGCAGGGAAUUCCUGGUGUAGCGGUGAAAUGCGCAGAUAUCAGGAGGAACACCAGUGGCGAAGGCGCUGCUCUGGGCUGUAACUGACGCUGAGGAGCGAAAGCAUGGGUAGCAAACAGGAUUAGAUACCCUGGUAGUCCAUGCCGUAAACGUUGGGCACUAGGUGUGGGUCUCAACCAACGAGAUCCGCGCCGUCGCUAACGCAUUAAGUGCCCCGCCUGGGGAGUACGGA
rnacentral:rRNA from 1 species